rnacentral:rRNA from 1 species
AGGUUGAGAUUUAUUAAUUAAAGUUUUUUAAUUUAUUUUUAAUAAAAAUAAUUUUAUGAUUAAAUUUUUAGUAUAUUUUAUAGAAAAAAUUAUUUUAAUUAUAGUUUAGUAGUAUUGUAAAAGAAAGUUGAAAUAUUUUGAAAAAAAAUUUGUUUAAAAGAAGUAUUAAUUUUAUGUACCUUUUGUAUCAGGGUUUAUUAAUUAAAUUUUAUUGAUAAAUAAAUUUCUCGAAUUUAAAAGAUUUAAUAAAUUAUUAAAGUUAAUGUUGAAUAAUUAUUUUAAAUAAUUUAUUAGUAAUGAAAUGUUAUUCGUUUUUAAAUAUAUCUAGUUUUUUAAGAAAUAAAUUUAAUUUACAUAAUUGAAAUAUAAUUUUUUAUUUAGUUAAAAAAAUUAUUUUUUUGUAUGAAUAUAUUAAGGGAUAAGCUUUAAUUUAUUUUCUAUAAUAAAAUUUAUAAAAAUUAUAAAUAUAAGGUUAGAAGUAUCUAUUAUUAAUAAGUUUGUUUUAAUUUAUAUAUUUUAUUUAUAAUUUAUUUUUAUUUAGAUUUUUUAUUAAAAUAAUUAUUUUAAUUAUAAAUAUAAUAAAAUAAUGAUGAAAUUAGUAUAAAAAUUUGUUAAUUUUUAAUUAGAAAAAAGAUUGAGUUAAGGAAUUCAGCAAAUUAAUACCCACCUGUUUAACAAAAACAUGUCUUUUUGAUUAUAAUCUAAAGUCUAACCUGCCCACUGAAAUUUUUGAAGGGCCGCGGUAUUUUGACUGUGCAAAGGUAGCAUAAUCAUUAGUCUUUUAAUUGGAGGCUUGUAUGAAUGGUUGGAUGAGGUAUUAACUGUCUCAAUUUAAUAAAUAAUAGAAUUUUAUUUUUGAGUUAAAAAGCUCAAAUUUUAUUAAAAGACGAGAAGACCCUAUAGAUCUUUAUAAUUAAAUUUAUAAUAAUUUUUUGGAUUAAAUUUAUUUUUAUAAAAAUAAUUAUUAUAUUGGGGUGAUAAAAAAAUUUAUAAAACUUUUUUUGUAAAUAAACAAUUAUAUUUGAUUAAUUGAUCCAUUUUUUGUGAUUAUAAGAUUAAGUUACCUUAGGGAUAACAGCGUAAUUUUUUUGGAGAGUUCUUAUCGAUAAAAAAGAUUGCGACCUCGAUGUUGAAUUAAAGGUUAAUUUUAGGUGUAGAAGUUUAAAAUUUUGGUCUGUUCGACCAUUAAAUCUUUACAUGAUUUGAGUUCAAACCGGCGUGAGCCAGGUUGGUUUCUAUCUUUAAUUAAAUAAAAUAUUUUAGUACGAAAGGACCAAAUAUUUAAAAUAUUUUUUAAAAAUGAAUAGUAUUAAU